AUGGAAAUGACAGAUGAUGAUGUAGAGGAUGAUGAUUAUGAACCAAGUUUUAACAUCACUCUAAGAGAAGGACUUGACACCACUGCUGCUACUGAUGAUGAUGAAGAUGACGAAUGCAUAAAGAAGGGGAUGAAAAUUAUAGAAGUUGUGACUGAUGCACAUGUGCAGAUUUCAUCACUAAUGAAGAAAAACUAUCCAGACAUCAAGCAUUCAUUUGAUGUUUGGCAUGGGACCAAGAACUUGGGGAAAAAAAUCAUCAAGGCAGGUCAAGAAAAGAAGAAUAAAGGUUUGCUGGACUGGACCAAAGAUGUGGUUAACCAUUACUGGUAUACAGCACAAACUUGUACUACAAAAGAAGACUUUGUUGGGAUGUGGAUUGGUGUAUUACAUCAUGUAGUAAAUGAGUAUUGUUCUGGACAAAAGAUUAUUGAACAACAUCCCAUAUUAUCUGAACUGCAGAAGUACAGCAGAGUUGGAAAACUUCCAGAACCUCAUUUUGAUAGAAGUUAUGACAAACAAAGAUGGAUCUAUCAGGUACCAGAGAGUUUUUCAGAAGAAAAGUAG
rnacentral:sRNA from 1 species